UACGUAGGUGGCAAGCGUUGUCCGGAAUUAUUGGGCGUAAAGCGCGCGCAGGCGGCCUUUUAAGUCUGAUGUGAAAUCUUGCGGCUCAACCGCAAGCGGCCAUUGGAAACUGGGAGGCUUGAGUACAGAAGAGGAGAGUGGAAUUCCACGUGUAGCGGUGAAAUGCGUAGAUAUGUGGAGGAACACCAGUGGCGAAGGCGACUCUCUGGGACGGUACUGACGCUGAGACGCGAAAGCGUGGGGAGCGAACAGG
rnacentral:rRNA from 1 species